ensembl:miRNA Gm25958 predicted gene, 25958
GUAGAACUCCUAACAGCAGGAGUAGGGGCUGUAUCUCACUCUGUUGCUUGCUUUUGGGACCCUUUCCUCCC